rnacentral:rRNA from 1 species
UAUUGGACAAUGGGGGGAACCCUGAUCCAGCGACGCCGCGUGAGUGAAGAAGUAUCUCGGUAUGUAAAGCUCUCUCAGCAGGGAAGAAAGAAAUGACGUUACCUGAGUAAGAAGCCCCGGCCAACUACGUGCCAGCAGCCGCGGUAAUACGCAGGGGGCAAGCGUUAUCCGGAAUUACUGGGUGUAAAGGGAGCGUAGACGGUGAUGUAAGUCUGGAGUGAAAGGCGGGGGCCCAACCCCCGGACUGCUCUGGAAACUAUGUGACUGGAGUGCAGGAGAGGUGAGAGGAAUUCCUAGUGUAGCGGUGAAAUGCGUAGAUAUUAGGAGGAACACCAGUGGCGAAGGCGGCUCACUGGACUGUAACUGACGCUGAGGUUCGAAAGCGUGGGUAGCAAACAGG